rnacentral:rRNA from 1 species
GACGAACGCUGGCGGCGCGCUUAACACAUGCAAGUCGAGCGAAGCGGCUGAGGGGUGAGUAACACGUGAGUAACCUGCCUUAGACACUGGGAUAGCUACGGGAAACCGGGAUUAAUACCAAAUGGUCUAAGAUGGACUCGAGUCCCAUUAGCUAGUGGGUGAGGUAACGGCCCACCAAGGCGACGAUGGGUAGCCGGCCAGGGAGGGAGAGCGGACACAUUGGAACUAAGAAGCGGGCCAAACUCUACGGGAGGCAGCAGUGGGGGAUAUUGCACAGUGGAGGGAACGCUGAUGCAGCGACGCCGCGUGAACGAAGAAGGCUUUCGAGUCGUAAAGUACUUUUAUAUGGGAAGCGGUACCAUAAGAAAAAGCCCCGGCUAACUACGUGCCAGCAGCCGCGGUAAUUC